rnacentral:rRNA from 1 species
UAAAAAGGACUAAAGACGUUGUAUGGUGAAUGGCUUGGCUCGAAUACCGAUGAAGGACGUGGUAAGCUGCGAUAAACCUGGGGUAGUAGCAUACAUACUUUGAACCCAGGGAUUCCGAAUGGGACUUCCUGUUUACGAUCCCGUUAGGGAUUGGUUACACGGUGAAUUGAAACAUCUUAGUAACCGUAGGAAAAGAAAGCAAUAGCGAUUCCCUUAGUAAGGGCGACUGAAAAGGGAAGAGAACAAACCGAACCGCUAUAAGAGAUUAUAGUGGAAUGUGGUGUUUGGACUCGGGUUCUGCCUAACUCUUGAUUCUGAAGUUUGUUGGAAAACAGUGCCGUAGAGGGUGAUAGCCCCGUAAGAGUAAAGAGAAGGAUGAUACCGAGUAUCCAGAGUACUGCCAGUUGAAUAUCUGGUGGGAAUGUGGGAGACAAUAACUCCUAAUUCUAAAUAUAGUUCGAGUCCGAUAGCGCACUAGAUGAGAAUAGGUCUUUAAUCAGCAGGCAUAUUCUCCUUUUCUUUUAGAAAAGUAGAUAAGCCUGCUUCCCAAACAAUCAAACAUGAAAAUUAAAAAUUUUCAGGAAAAUAAGAAUUUUAUUUUUAGGAAUAAGAUUCUUAAAAGAGCAAAAUUACAGGCAUUACUAUUCACAGAUGGUUCAUUAAUUCCAGAAAGAAAUCAAAUAAGUUUUGCAAAUACAUCUAAAGCACUAAUAGAUAUGUUUUGUGGUUUGGUUUUCGAAGUAUACGAUCGUAAACUAUCUAAAAAUUCUAUAGGAACAGGUGCUGGUAGAAGACAAAAAUUAUAUCUAGUACAAUUUAAAUCGAAAGAAAUUUGUAAUGAUCUGUUAAAGGAUGUUAUUACAUAUAAAACCAGACUUACAAAAACAUUUCUUCCAAAACUAUGGUUUGAAUUUUCUAAUAAAGAAUUGUCAUAUGUUUUAAGAAGUGUAUUUGAUGCGGAUGGUGGAUGCUCUUUAAGAGUUUACUGGAAAAAUAAAAGGAAAUGUUUUCAAAUACAAAGAGAAGUUUUUAUAGGAUGUAAAAAUCCAUAUUUAAGAGGGGAUUAUAAAAAACUUUUAAAUAAAUUAGGAAUCAAAACAGGAGAAUCUAGUGAAAAAAUAACAAUUACAAACCUUAAUAGUAUAAAACUGUUUAGAGAUUUGAUAGGAUUCUCAAAAAAUGUUCAUGUUGGUUAUGAUUCAAAACACUGGCAAGGAUUAGAAAAGAUGAAUCUGUUGAAUUUAAUUUUGAAUACAUACUCAAUUAAAAGAGGACUUAUACAAAAAUUUGAAAACAAAGAGGGAAUUUAUAAUCAUAUAAGAUCUAUUCUCAGGUGAAUACUGUGAAGGAAAGCUGAAAAGUAUCCGUAAUAGGAGAUGAAAAGAUCCUGAAGCCAUACAACUAUAGGUAGAUAUGGCUCGUGCAAUCCUUUUGAAGGAAGAUCCGUGAGGAUCUAAUACGAAUGAAGGACUUACCGAGUUAUAUCGUCGGUUUUGAAACAUUAGACAAGGAGUUUAUUUCUGUGGCGAGGUUAAUUCAAGUAGCCUUAGCGAAAGCGAAACCCGCGCAGCCUGCAAGGCGGGUGGGUAUGAAAGUGCCCAAGUCACAGGGAUAAGACCAGAAGCCGGUCGAUCUAGCCGUGGGUAGAGUGAAGUCUCGGGAAACCGGGAUGGAGGCUCGCACCCGUGUUGAGAUUCAAAUCGCUGGGAUAACCUGCGGCUAGGGGUGAAAAUCAGUUGGUGACUAAUAAUGUUUAGUCAUAUCUGUUCAACGCCAAUCGAGAUCGGCAAUAGCUGGUUCCUUCCGAAAUGAGUCUCAGCUCAGCCUCGCUGGAGAUUGAUAAGGGGGUAAAGAUACUGAUUAGGUAAUCAAGGAAGGAAACUUCCAGUUACUUUGUCAAACUCAGAAUACUUUAUCAUCGUAGAAGGCGGGAGUGAGGAUCCGGGGUAAGCUCGAGAUCCGAAAGGGAGACAACCCAGCUCAGGGUUAAGGUCCCAAAGUGUAUGUUAAGUGAGGAAAGGAGUUCUCAUCCUCAGACAGUGGGAAUGUUGGCUUAGAAGCAGCCAUCUUUUAAAGAGUGCGUAAUACCUCACCCACCGAGGUUGUGAGCCCUGAUAAUGGACGGGACUAAACAUACCACCGAUACCUUGAACAUCGAAAGAUGUGGAGUAGGAAGGUGUUCUGCAGGGGUAGAAGCUUGGAUGUAAAUUCAUGUGAACCUUGUAGGAACAAGAAUCUUGUUGAUAGUAACAGCAUAGUAGAGUGAGAAUCUCUACCACCUUAUGGGCUAGGGUUCCUCAGCAACGAUUAACAGUUUGACGAAUUUUAUAUUUGUCUGCUGGUCGAUUCAGCUGAGGGUUAGUCGGUCCUAAGGUAGACCCUAACCGGAGUCUACCGAAAGGGAAACAGGUUAAUAUUCCUGUACUGAGAAGAUACGUGCGGCGACGCAAGAUUUGUUCCUGACGCUUUAGGAUAGAUCAACCAUGGAGACGUGGUUAACCAUUUAAUCGUGUGGAGUAUCGUCAUGAUGAGAAGCACGCGAAGAUGGGAACAGCUUCGCAAGGAGUUUGAUUGAAUUCUAGAGCCAGUGAAAAGGAAAUAGAUAAGGAUUCUUCUUAUCCGUACCGAGAUCCGAUACUGGUGCCCCUCGCUGAGAAGGCGAAGGUGUGUUAGGAGAAAUCAGUCUAGGGAAUUCGGCAAAUUAGCUCCGUAACUUCGGAAUAAGGAGUGCCUAUUGCUCUAAUUUGAUUAGAAACAGUAGGUCGCAGUGACAAGGGGAGUCCAACUGUUUAACAAAAACAUAGGGGACUGCUAGUCGGAAACGAUGUGUAUAGUCCCUGAGGCCUGCCCAGUGCCAGUAGGUUAAACUUGGGUACAACUGAGUGAAGCCCUGGUAAACGGCGGCGGUAACUCUGACCGUCUUAAUUGGUGGUCAACUGAACUACGAGAUGAUGUAGACUAUCUAAGAUAUAGGUAGCGUAAUCCCUUGCCGUUUAAUUGACGGCCCGCAUGAACGGCUUAAUGAGAUUCCCACUGUCCCAGACUGAUACCUAGUGAACUUAAUGUCCUGUGCAUAUUCAGGAGUCCUCCAGUGGGACGAGAAGACCCCGUAGAUCUUUACUACAGCCUGCUGUUGCGAUAUGGUGACGAUUGUAUAGUGUAAGUGGGAGCGAUGCGAUCAAGGCGUAAGCUUUGGUUAAGGCGCCAAUGUAACACCACUCUUUUGUUAUCAUAUCGCUUACCUUUUAAGGGAACAUCAGCUGGUGGGUAGUUUGACUGGGGCGGUACACCCUUGACAUCUUAUCAAGGGUGCCCUAAGAUUUCCUCAUCGAGGUCAGAAAUCUCGAGAAGAGUGUAAGGGUAAAAGGAAGUCUGACAGGAUUCUGGAAAACAAGGAAUCCUGCCGCGAAAGCGAGGCCUAGCGAUCCCCUGUGCCUCAUUAAUUGGAGGCCAGGUCUGACAGAAAAGUUACCUCGGGGAUAAUGGAGUUGUGGCGCGCGAGAGUCCACACUUCGUUUCUCAUCCUACUUAGAACCAAGUGUUGUCUUAUGAGCAAUAGCUUUAGCUGUUGCAAUGAAAAAUAAGACUCGUAUUUGGCAAGGAAGGCAUGGAGAAAUGAAAGGUCAAAUCGACCGCGUUCAUUGCUUCUCCGCCGUCGGCUCGGCUCUUCCUGGACGCGCAGCGGUGUCCAAGGGUGGGGGUGUUCACCCAUUAAAGAGCCACGUUAGCUGGGUUAAAUACGUUGCGAGCUUGGUUGGGGUUGUAUUCAUUAACCAGCAGGCAUAUUCUCCUUUUAG